rnacentral:rRNA from 1 species
GAGUUUGAUCCUGGCUCAGAUUGAACGCUGGCGGCAUGCUUUACACAUGCAAGUCGAGCGGCAGCGCGGGGGCAACCCUGGCGGCGAGCGGCGAACGGGUGAGUAAUGCAUCGGAACGUGUCCCGUGGUGGGGGAUAACCCAGCGAAAGCUGGGCUAAUACCGCAUAUGCUCUGCGGAGGAAAGUGGGGGACCUGAAAGGGCCUCACGCCAUGGGAGCGGCCGAUGUCCGAUUAGCUUGUUGGUGGGGUAAUGGCUUACCAAGGCGACGAUCGGUAGCUGGUCUGAGAGGAUGAUCAGCCACACUGGGACUGAGACACGGCCCAGACUCCUACGGGAGGCAGCAGUGGGGAAUUUUGGACAAUGGGGGCAACCCUGAUCCAGCCAUGCCGCGUGCGGGAAGAAGGCCU